AAUAAUGGGGGAGUGGACAUAAUGGGAUUAAGUAUCUCAGUAGUCCUAGUCGUAAACAUCAGAUACUAGGCAUUGGGAGUGUCAAUCCGUGCAAUGCUGUAGCUGACGCGUUAAAUAUCC
rnacentral:rRNA from 1 species